GCAUAGUGGUGUGUGGGCUAUUCUAAGUCCUUGAAAUUAGAUCUUAAGGCUUUAUCUCUUUCCUCUCCAAAAAAGAUGUUCAUCCCUCUCUUCUACAAAGUUUGGCGUGCAUGCAAAGUAGAGGAUCCGCACAUCCAGAUCUCGUGAAGCAUAUUGAUCGAGGAGCUUCUUCAACCUUGAUUAUUUUUCACUACAAAUCAAGAUGAGAUUUCAUA
rnacentral:lncRNA from 1 species